CCCUUCCCAGCCAUAUCUUGGCGGUAACUUUUCCCUGAGAAUGUCCGUGAGCGUCCGAUUUAACACUGCGUUUGGUCGUCAUGUUGCGGAGCCAUGUGAGGCGGUGAACAUAGUGGAGGAGGCGGCGGAAGACCGCAACAACCCGCCGCCACGCGUUAGGUAACCACCGGUGCCGCCGACCACGCCAUGCUGCCCUGCCUCACGCUGCCUUGACUCCUCAACCAGGACAGGCAGGGAGCUGGCCUGGAGGAGAUGUGUGGCCGAGGAGGACGAUCGGGAUGCUAGGCCGGGGUGAGCCGAGCCCCGCCCCGCCCCGCUGGUGCCAUCACCCUCUCCAGCCCUGACGAGGUGCGUGUCACGCCGGGGUGAGCCGAGCCCCGCCCCGCCCCGCUGGUGCCAUCACCCUCUCCAGCCCUGACGAGGUGCGUGUCACGCCGGGGUGAGCCGAGCCCCGCCCCGCCCCGCUGGUGCCAUCACCCUCUCCAGCCCUGACGAGGUGCGUGUCACGCCGGGGUGAGCCGAGCCCCGCCCCGCCCCGCUGGUGCCAUCACCCUCUCCAGCCCUGACGAGGUGCGUGUCACGCCGGGGUGAGCCGAGCCCCGCCCCGCCCCGCUGGUGCCAUCACCCUCUCCAGCCCUGACGAGGUUUUUGACUGGGAAUUUGGCGUUUUGGACAACUGUGCACCGGGGUGAGCCGAGCCCCGCCCUGCUGGUGCCAUCACCCUUUCCAGCCCUGACGAAGUUUCUUGCCGGGGUUAGCCGAGCCCCGCCCUGCUGGUGCCAUCACCCUCUCCAGCCUUGUCGAAGUUUCUUGCCGGGGUGAGCCGAGCCCCGCCCCGCUGGUGCCAUCACCCUUUCCCUGCUCGUCCCACCGCCAGACCUCAUCCAGCUGCUGCAGAGUAACCCUGCCAAACAGCUAGGAUGGAGAGAAGAUGACGGACGAAACAGGACGUUGAUUGACGGAAGAAAGUGGGAAGUGGAAGGAAUACAAUGAUUUGGAUACAGAUAUUAAGAACUGGGAGCCAGACUUUUUAUGUUGAGGUGAGGAGAAACGUG